UUGGUGCAAAAGUAAUCGUGGUUUUGGCCAUUACUUUUAAUGGUGCCUAACACCCAAUCUUUUAAUGGCCAAAACCGCAAUUACUUUUGCACCAACCUAAUA
rnacentral:miRNA from 1 species